rnacentral:rRNA from 1 species
UACGUAGGGUGCGAGCGUUGUCCGGAAUUAUUGGGCGUAAAGGGCUCGUAGGCGGUUUGUCGCGUCGGGAGUGAAAUCCACUGGCUUAACUGGUGGCUUGCUUUCGAUACGGGCAGACUUGAGUUCGGUAGGGGAGACUGGAAUUCCUGGUGUAGCGGUGAAAUGCGCAGAUAUCAGGAGGAACACCGGUGGCGAAGGCGGCAUCCUGGACCGACAUUGACGCUGAGGAGCGAAAGCUAGGGGAGCAAACGGG